rnacentral:snRNA from 1 species
GGAUGUGAGGACUAUCUGGCUGCGACAUCUGUGACCUCACUGAUCACCAGGGUUGAUUUGACUGAUCUGGUUUGCUAGGAGAGUGUCCCCUUCUUCCCUCACCACUCCAUGUACAUCCCUCCCCAAGCUGCAUGCUCAGUUGAAGAGGAUGACCUUCCCUGAAUACGGGAGGGUGUGUCUUUAGUCAAGGGCAUAUGAGUUGCUGCGCUCCCCUGCUAGAACCUCCAUACAAGCUCUCAUAUGAAGCAUCUGUCUCAUCUUUCCAUAACAAAAUGACAUUUAGGGUAACCAGACAGUUCUGGUUUAUGCU